GAUAUUGUACCUUAGGAUUGAGGAGCAAUUGAAUUUUUUGGACAUAAAGACAGGCUAGUCCUGUCUUGAAUGUAGUUUCUGUUUUUUGGUUGAGUUCCAAGUAUAUAAGGCAUUUCAGUUGAAGCGAGGAAUUAAUAUCAACAAAGCGUUCUUUAGUUUCUGUUGACUUCGGUUUUUUGUAGGGACGACGUGUCCAGCAAAUCCCAAUUCCUCUCAUAUCUGCGUAGGCGUAGCCUCUUCCUGUGCAUUUGGACAAAUAGUUAGAGCACACAGCUUUCUCUGGUUGUGGGAGAGGUCAAGAGCACUUUAAUGGUUAAGUCAAUCUAUUUGUGAGUGAAUAUUUGGGUGUGGGACAUUCUAAAUAUGCGAGUCACUAUAAAAAGGCAUUUGGAUCUGAGAGAGAGAGAGAGAGAUAGAGCAACUUUAUAGUUGAAUGUAUAAGAUUGCAUUACCUUCAAAUGACACUAAACGUGAGCUUUUAAAGUAAUAGAGGAGAAAUUACCGCCAUUAAAUGAAGAGACACGUGGCCUCAUCCUGAAGGUCAAGGCGCCGUGUCAUUCUAUCAAUCCUAGGCCCACGUGCAUUUAAUGUUCUAACCAUUUGCAAAACUAUGCCUAGCUUGUAAGGAUUAUACUUGACAUUUUGACUUAUGAAAGUGUUCUCAACUAAGAUUUUGAUGAAUUUUAAAAGAUUAUGAAUCUUGAUGAAUUUCAUGGAUUUGAAUCGAUUUUCACAAGUUUCAUAAUAAUUUCAUCAAAUAUGGUG
rnacentral:lncRNA from 1 species